GACGAGCGCUGGCGGCGUGCUUAACACAUGCAAGUCGAACGGAAAGGCCCUGCUUUUGUGGGGUGCUCGAGUGGCGAGCGGGUGAGUAACACGUGAGUAACCUGCCCUUGACUUUGGGAUAACUUCAGGAAACUGGGGCUAAUACCGGAUAGGAGCUCCUGCUGCAUGGUGGGGGUUGGAAAGUUUCGGCGGUUGGGGAUGGACUCGCGGCUUAUCAGCUUGUUGGUGGGGUAGUGGCUUACCAAGGCUUUGACGGGUAGCCGGCCUGAGAGGGUGACCGGCCACAUUGGGACUGAGAUACGGCCCAGACUCCUACGGGAGGCAGCAGUGGGGAAUAUUGCACAAUGGGCGGAAGCCUGAUGCAGCAACGCCGCGUGCGGGAUGACGGCCUUCGGGUUGUAAACCGCUUUCGCCUGUGACGAAGCGUGAGUGACGGUAAUGGGUAAAGAAGCACCGGCUAACUACGUG
rnacentral:rRNA from 1 species